AGAGUUUGAUCCUGGCUCAGAUUGAACGCUGGCGGCAGGCCUAACACAUGCAAGUCGAGCGGAUGAAGAGGGCUUGCUCUCUGAUUCAGCGGCGGACGGGUGAGUAAUGCCUAGGAAUCUGCCUGGUAGUGGGGGACAACGUUUCGAAAGGAACGCUAAUACCGCAUACGUCCUACGGGAGAAAGCAGGGGACCUUCGGGCCUUGCGCUAUCAGAUGAGCCUAGGUCGGAUUAGCUAGUUGGUGAGGUAAAGGCUCACCAAGGCGACGAUCCGUAACUGGUCUGAGAGGAUGAUCAGUCACACUGGAACUGAGACACGGUCCAGACUCCUACGGGAGGCAGCAGUGGGGAAUAUUGGACAAUGGGCGAAAGCCUGAUCCAGCCAUGCCGCGUGCGUGAAGAAGGUCUUCGGAUUGUAAAGCACUUUAAGUUGGGAGGAAGGGCAGUAAGCUAAUACCUUGCUGUUUUGACGUUACCGACAGAAUAAGCACCGGCUAACUUCGUGCCAGCAGCCGCGGUAAUACGUAGGGUGCGAGCGUUAAUCGGAAUUACUGGGCGUAAAGCGUGCGCAGGCGGUGACUCAAGUCAGAUGUGAAAUCCCCGGGCUUAACCUGGGAACUGCAUUUGAAACUAGGUCGCUAGAGUGUAGCAGAGGGGGGUAGAAUUCCACGUGUAGCAGUGAAAUGCGUAGAGAUGUGGAGGAAUACCGAUGGCGAAGGCAGCCCCCUGGGUUAACACUGACGCUCAUGCACGAAAGCGUGGGGAGCAAACAGGAUUAGAUACCCUGGUAGUCC
rnacentral:rRNA from 1 species